rnacentral:lncRNA from 1 species
AUAGGAGGGCACACCUUUGUGUUUCAUUUUGGGCAAAAGGUAUGGAAAUGUCUGUAGACUCCAUUCCCUUAUGAUGGGGCACGAAGAAAGCACAUAACAAGGCAGGGUGCUUGUCCUGAGGAUCUCCAGUUCUCCAUUGAUAUGGCAGAUGUUAGGCUGCUGUAAAGCCACCACCAUGUGAAUGCAGGGCAGAAGGAUAGAGCACAGGCCUAUACAGAGCAAUGCUGCUAGCAGUGGGGCACAUAGUUUGAUGUCCCUCUUAUUAUGCCAAUUUAAGAAUUGUCCUCCAUGAGCAAGGCACAUAUGUGACAAGCAUUGUGAUCAAGUAUAGAGAAGUUUCUGUGACUGAAAGAGCUGAGAGAGAAAAGGGAAUGCUCUCUCCAAAGUCUACGUGCUACAUGGUCAGGGCAGGGUUUGGCUCCUGGGAUAAGCGUGAGUGCAUCCAUGGGAGCACAGAGUGAGUCAAGCUCACUAUCCACUAUAUCUUCUUUUGUAAUUACCUCGAUUUUCUGGAUCUCCAGCCUGUCUGAGCACCUGCUAUGCACUGCCAGAAUUUGGCAUAGGAGUAUAAAAUGAUGGAUCCCAUCCCUGUCCCUCAGACUCUUUACAAAGUACAGAGAACCUGUGCAAAAUGAGGUCAUUCAACCAGAAAUUUACUGCAAGACACUGAUGAAGUAGAGGAUAUACCCCUGCACCAGGCAGUCUGGCAGAAAAUAAUGAGUAAUUACCUGCCGUAUAUCUGCUACUGGCAGGAUGCCUGAGAAGGACGAGGGGAAUAUUUCCUUUUGUAGGUGGUUAGUUGGCUCUGCAGACUGUAGAUAAGGGAAGAAUCAAAGAGAAAUGUUACUGCUCUAGAAAUCAGAAAGGUCUCCUUUGGAUCAGCCUUCUUCAUAAAGCAUGAAGAGGGAGUGAAAACAGAUCUACACUAAUUUAUGGAAGACCAGCCUUCUGCAUGCAUCUUUGCCUUAGUAAAACAACAGAGGUCUAGCUGUUAUUGGUGCACUUUCCUCCAGUGUGAUCAAGACCAUCAGAAUCACUGGCCAAGGAAAGAGAAGUCACAGCAUGUCAAGGCUGUAAAUGUUUGUAAAAAACACUGAGAAAUAAAUGAAAAAAUACACAGA